AUGGCGCUAACCGCAGCUGUCACCCACGCCUCGCGCGCGCUCCCUCGGCGGCGCCACCGCCGCGCUCCGGCUCCCUCCACCCGCCUCGCCCCUCCCCUUACCGCGCCGCCGCCACCGCCGACACGUCCGGCGACCCUCGACCGCGUGCUCUCCGACCUGGAGGCCCAGCCGCGCCUCCUCACGCCGUCCCUCCUCACGCCCCUCCUCGCCGCGCUCCCGCUCCACCCGUCCCCGCGCCGCCGCCUCGCCGCGCUCCGCGGCCUCCUGCCGGCCUCCCUCCUCCGCCGCCACCCGGACCUCGCGCUCCGCCUCCUCCACAUCCACGCCUCCCUCGGCCUCCUCGCGUACGCGCACCACAUCUUCGACCACCUCCUCCCCGCGCGCACCCGCCGAGAGCGCGCGUUCCCGUGGAACUGCCUCAUCGCCGGAUACGCACACGUCGGCCGCUAUUACGACGCGCUCGCCCUCUACCUCCAGAUGGACGAGGAGGGCGCCCCGCGCGACGGGUUCACCUUCGAGAGCGCGCUCCGGGCCUGCGCUGGCGGCCGGUCCGCCGAGCUCGGUCGGGCCGUGCACCGCGACGCCCUGCGCGCCGGCCUCGCCGCCGACGUCUCCGUGUGCGACGCCCUCGUGGAGAUGUAUGCUCAGUGCGGCGACAUGGAGAUGGCGUGCCAGGUGUUUGACGCAAUGCCGGAGAGGGACGCCGUCUCGUGCAACGUCAUGCUCGCUGGCUUGCUGGGGCACGGUGGUCUCUCUCCUCAGGCAACGGAGGUAUGGAGGAGGAUGCUCAGAGAAGGGCACAAGCCCAACUCCGUCGUGCUGUCGACGAUUCUCUGCCAUCACCCUGAUGAUGGCAAACAGGGACCGGAGGUUCAUGCCUGGGUGAUCCGCCAUGGGCUCGACACAGAGUUGUCAGUGGCAAACGCUCUGAUUGGAAUGUACUCCAGAAAGAAUGAGCUAGGCCACGCCCUGUCCGUGUUCGAGUGGAUGCCGGUCAGGGACCUGGCCUCGUGGAAUGCUAUAAUCUCUGCGCACAGCCAAGACUUCAGAGUUCUCAUGAUGUUCCGCCGCAUGGUGGACUCCGGAGUGUGGCCGGAUGAGACCACCUUUGCGGCGGUGCUCUCCGCGUGCGACAGUCUAGGAUUGGUGGAGGGCGGCAUGAGGCUGUUUUCUGAGAUGGAGAACAAGUACAGAAUUCAGCCUAUUCUGGAGCACUACACCUCUGUGGUCAACAUGCUAGGCAAAGCUGGGAUGGUGGAUGAGGCAUACGAGUUCAUGUCAAAGCGGAUGUGUCUCAGCAGUGAGCCCACUGUCUUGAGGGCUCUUCUACAUGCUAGCUCAGUACAUGGCAACAUCAGGAUAGGACAAAUCACCGCAAAGAAGUUACUCGACCUGGAGCCUGACAAUUGCAUAAUUUCGUCACAGUAA
rnacentral:rRNA from 1 species